GACGAACGCUGGCGGCGUGCCUAAUACAUGCAAGUCGAACGCUUCUUUCCUCCCGAGUGCUUGCACUCAAUUGGAAAGAGGAGUUGCGGACGGGUGAGUAACACGUGGGUAACCUACCCAUCAGAGGGGGAUAACACUUGGAAACAGGUGCUAAUACCGCAUAACAGUUUAUGCCGCAUGGCAUAAGAGUGAAAGGCUCUUUCGGGUGUCGCUGAUGGAUGGACCCGCGGUGCAUUAGCUAGUUGGUGAGGUAACGGCUCACCAAGGCCACGAUGCAUAGACGACCUGAGAGGGUGAGCGGCCACACUGGGACUGAGACACGGACCAGACUCCUACGGGAGGCAGCAGUAGGGAAUCUUCGGCAAUGGACGAAAGUCUGACCGAGCAACGCCGCGUGAGUGAAGAAGGUUUUCGGAUCGUAAAACUCUGUUGUUAGAGAAGAACAAGGACGUUAGUAACUGAACGUCCCCUGACGGUAUCUAACCAGAAAGCCACGGCUAACUACGUG
rnacentral:rRNA from 1 species